rfam:Triticum aestivum genome assembly, contig: Triticum_aestivum_CS42_TGACv1_scaffold_423374_5BS
AUAAUACUCCCUCCGUCCCAUAAUUCUUGUCUUAGAUUUGUAUAAAUACGGAUGUAUCAAGUCAUGUUUUAGUAUUAGAUACAUUCGUAUCUAGACAAAUCUAAGACAAGAAUUUUGGGACGGAGGGGGUAGCAU